rnacentral:tRNA from 1 species
GGGUAUAUAGCUCAGGGGUAGCGUGCAUGCCUACAAUGCACGAGAUCCUGGGUUCAAGCCCCAGUACCUCCA